rnacentral:lncRNA from 1 species
UGCAGAAAUGCGCAGCAGAAUAGAGGCAUCGAUGAGGGAGAUGAGAUGAAUAUGGAUCGGCGGCGGCGGCGGCGGCGGCGUGAAGUUCGAGGGAGUUGAGCUCCGGGAAGGAGGAAAAAAGAGAACACGUGUGAGUGAUUGUGAAACGUGUCGCUGACGUUACAAUCUGAACCGCAUCUCUCUGUCUGGCCUCUCAGUCUCGGUCACUUCAUCAACAUGUGGUGUUUGGACCACCGUUCAUUCCAUCAAUUCUACACACAAUAUUCCCUCACCGUCAGAUCAAUUCACAGGUCGUUCUUAGAUCUUUCUCAAUAACAAACAAUAAUCAUGCAUCCACACACUUGCUUUUUCAUGUUAUUUUACAAGAUAUUUUAAUGUUUUAUAAAAAAAUUAAAUAUAUUUUUCGAUUAUGUAAUGAAUGAUGA